AUUAACGUGCAAUAAGUGAGAUGGAACCAGGUCAGGAUCGAAAGAUAGCAGCCUUAACAUUAAACACUUAUGUGCACUUUUUUUUG
rnacentral:SRP_RNA from 1 species